AUUACCUUUAGGCGUUGUUUUAUACUGUCAACAAGCAGUGACCAAGCAGCAAAAAUUUAAGAAAACGAACAGAGAACUAUUCAGUUAACGCUGAAGGUGCUGUGUUGAGCCUGUCGUUCUCCACUGUAUAAACCGUUCUGGAGCGGUAACGGUAGAUGUAACGGUGGUUCACUUUAGCCCAGCUUCCAUAGUCUACAGUCUACCAGAAAACUGCUCAGUUAUAGAUACGAGGCAACUUCUGUUUUCCGUUGUUCGUUGUUUUGUGAAAUUCAGAAGUCGCCUAAACCAGAUGGCUAAAACCAGUAGUAGGCCGAUGUACACUCCCCGGUUUGGGAGUCAGUUAUCUUUGAGAUCUACCAGGAAACAUAAACUUGGAGAGAAGUCUCCAUUAGCGGCUGCUAACGCCAAGCUUUGGCCUGCAGACCGCGAACAAACUGCAAACUCGGGAAUGGCGCGGAGAGCCAAGGGAAUGAAAGCAGCUAACGCUAAACUGUUCUCCACAACAAGAAAAGAAGGACCUGUCACCAUAAGGAGCAUUCCACAACAACAUCCAAAUACGUGUCCAAAAACCUUAACAGAAAAAAAGGACAUCCCACAUAGGGAGGUAUCAGGGCAUUCCAACACUCAAAGGGAGUGCUGUGAAGCAGGCUGUUCUCAGGACCAUCUCUAAGAUGCUGGAGGAGAACGGGGCCAUCAGGAGGAGACUCACAGCGUGCAGAGAGGAGAGACGCACAGGCACAGAAUGGAUCAGUACGCUGUGAUCUGACUGGGCAAGAUGAAAAUGGAGACAUCACCAGCAUCCCACAGAAUAGUGUGCAAUGUUGUAG